CCUACGGGUGGCUGCAGUAGGGAAUCUUCCGCAAUGGACGAAAGUCUGACGGAGCAACGCCGCGUGAGUGAAGAAGGUUUUCGGAUCGUAAAACUCUGUUGUAAGGGAAGAACAAGUACGUUAGUAACUGAACGUACCUUGACGGUACAUUACCAGAAAGCCACGGCUAACUACGUGCCAGCAGCCGCGGUAAUACGUAGGUGGCAAGCGUUAUCCGGAAUUAUUGGGCGUAAAGCGCGCGUAGACGGUCUCUUAAGGAUGAUGCGAAAGCCCACGGCUCAACCGGGGAGGGACAUUGGAAACUGGGGAACUUGAGAGCAGAAGAGGAGAGUGGAAUUCCAUGUGUAGCGGUGAAAUGCGCAGAGAUAUGGAGGAACACCAGUGGCGAAGGCGGCUCUCUGGUCUGUAACUGACGCUGAGGUGCGAAAGCGUGGGGAGCAAACAGGAUUAGAUACCCGGGUAGUC
rnacentral:rRNA from 1 species